CCAAUAGCGUAUAUUAAAGUUGUUGCAGUUAAAAAGCUCGUAGUUGAAUUUCGGGAUCAAUAUGUUGGUCGUGCCUUGGUACGUACUAUCUUAUUGAUUUCUUCCUUCUGACGAACCAUGAUGUCAUUAAUUUGAUGUCAUGGGGAAUCAGGACUGUUACUUUGAAAAAAUUAGAGUGUUUAAAGCAGGCUCACGCUUGAAUACAUUAGCAUGGAAUAAUGAAAUAGGACGUUUGAUUCUAUUUUGUUGGUUUCUAGGAUCGACGUAAUGAUUAAUAGGGAUAGUUGGAGGCAUUAGUAUUCAAUUGUCAGAGGUGAAAUUCUUGGAUUUAUUGAAGACUAACUACUGCGAAAGCAUUUGCCAAGGAUGUUUUCAUUAAUCAAGAACGAAAGUUAGGGGAUCGAAGACGAUCAGAUACCGUCGUAGUCUUAACCAUAAACUAUGCCGACUAGGGAUCGGAUGAUGUUAAUUUUUUAAUGACUCAUUCGGCGCCUUACG
rnacentral:rRNA from 1 species